AUUAACUCAGCAGCUUAAUCAGAGAACUAGUCGCUGUCCUGGAAGCCCGGUGUUGGAAAUUUUUGCUUUCAUCUUACUGGUCAGAACUUUGAUCCUGUGCCCCUGCCCCCCACCCCACCCCGGGUGCAUGGAGUCCAGGGAGAGGGGUGUGUUUAACUGGCACAUUGCUGCCCGGGGCAGAAUUUUAGUGGGGAGGAAGAGGAGGUUGGCAGCUAGCAGUGUCUGCCAUGUGGUGAUUUUCCUUUUUAUUCUAAAUUAAUUUUCUUUGACUGUCUACUCUUGUGUUUUUAUUUUUAGAUUAGUAUGUUUGUUGUCACAAAAGGAAUAGUUGCUCAUUAUUUAAAUUCAAAAAUACAGAAAAGUAAAAAGGAAACAAUAAUUUAGCCAGAAACAGCUGGUGUCAUAGUGGGUGAGCCUCAUUCCAUGCCUCUCAUGUGUGUGUCCUUCUGCAGAUGGAAGGAACAGGGAUGAGAGCUGGAAGGAAGGAGACAGGCAGGCACGUGGACAAAUAAAAAUGGACGAAGCAUUUUAUAAGAACAGAUCACACUUUAUCAGUUCUUUUCAUUAAAACAUUAGGUUUCAUUUUACUUAAAUCUGUAAGAAGAAAAAGAAACUUCAUCCUGAGAAAUGUUACAUCCCAAAAGGUCCUUCAAGAACAUAGAUUAUGAAAACCCCUGAAAGACUGCCAAAGCUGUAUUGUUAUUUUUAACUGCUUUUUCCAAUUUUAUACAUGAUCAAUUUUUCCUUCUAUUAAAUACGUAGUAAAACUCUUACAUCCCCCACUCGCAUGACUCCUACCCAUUUUUGUUGGUUCUUUUUUAAUAAGUAUAUUAUUUAUAACUUUAUUUUAUAUACUAUAUAUAAUGUAUGUGUCAUAUAUCAUUAUAUAUAUUUAUGUAUGAUUAUAUUAUUUAUAAUUAAUAUAUUUAUUAUAUUCUCUCCAGCAGCUGUAAUUCCCUUAAGUGUUUGAAAGUGGAUCUUGGUUCUGGUUAUUACAGAGCCAGAAUGCUUUUCACCAGUACAUUAGCCAUUGCUCCUCCAUUCUGGAAUUAUUUUGAUUGCCCUAUAAUUUGACUGAAUUUUUUUUAAUCCCUUGUUUUUUUUAAGAAGGGCUCAGAAGUCCCAAAUUCUGCAGUGUUUUCAUAUUUGAAUUUCAUAUCUAAGCAACUUUUCUUUCCUGUAUAAAAGGAAAAGAUACUGUCCAUGUACUAUUACUGAAAAAUAACAACUUAGAGAAAUCAAAAUGAAGAACUCAGGAAGGGAGAAUUCUGGUGUGAAAGCACUGGCCGACUGCAGCUGGAGCAAGAACCACCUGCCACACUCCCGCCACCCCGUCCUGGGGAGAAUCACAGUGCUGGCGGGUCUGACUCCUUCACUGGCCACGUUAAUGGUCCUCCAGUGACUUGGAGGGAUUAAUGGCCUGAUUUUACAUUGACUGAAACAGAUCCUUUAUGAAUGCUUUAAGAGGUUUCUACAGAAAACCUUCUAAAUCAAACUGCCCAAUUAAAUGUGAUUACUACUCUAUAAGGAAAAAACCUGGAAAAGAUUUGAAGGAAAUCUUGGGUUGAGGUACUUUUGGGGACUUGUUUCUUCUUUUGACUUUUCUGUAGUUUCCAAAUCUUUAAGAACCACUUAUUUCACUUUUAAUGAAAGAAGUAAACUUUGCGUUUAAAAAGUUAACAUCCUAAAGAAAUUAUAUUAAAAGUAUAAAAUUUUAAUUCUUCACUUACCUCGAAGGCAGUCAGGGAAACGUUCACUGGGGGUCAGUUCAGGACCUGCAGGGUUUGAGUACGGGCCUCCAGAUCUCUUCUAGGGAGUUCCCUGAAACUUUCUUUUUGUAUUACUAACUGAAUAAUUAUUGGCCUUAGAACUAUUUCUGCUGUUUGGGGAUUUAUGAGGUACCUUAAAAGCCAAAAAUUUGACAAAAAUAUACAUAAUAACAUUUUUUCUAAUGUGAUGAAUGAUAUCACAGUAUUAGAGCAGGACUAUCAUUUAUUUCUUUAAUCAAACUUAAACUUGUUGUUAUAGUUUCCAUGCAAUUUAUAUUAUUCCAGUGAUACUAUACCUUGAUAUACUUUAUAUAGAAAAAUGUCCUUUAAAGCCCACUUAAUCUGAACUAAAAUUCUUCAUAAAGUUAUCAGCUGCUCUUUGAUUCCUCUUUUAGAUAUUUUUAGUUAUUUCUGUGAACAUUUAAAAGAGUAAUUUAUUUAAAAGUAACAAAACCUGAAAUUAUCCUGAUCCACAUUCUCCUCACAUUUAUUUAGCUCCAUGUGUCAUUGGACAUGAGCCUUGGGUCAGUUGGCCUCCGCGUCAAAUGGAGUAGAAGCCGGUUCCGGGCAGGGGUCCCACAUGCAGGGUCCUGCGUGCAGGGGGACAGCUGUGUGAGGGCACUUGUUACACACCUGCCUGCUGUGAGAUCCUCACUUGUCUUAGUGCUCCCGUUGUAUUAGUGAUUCUUGUUACAUAAUUGCCAAAUACACAUUCAAUGUAGUUUGUAUUUUCGGUGCUUUUAUCCAUUGUUCAUGACAUUUAGGAAUAUCUGGAGCAGGACUCACCAAGCCAGCAACUCCAGCCUCCCACGGGGAAAGCUGCGUGGCUCCCCGAGAAGUCUGAGGGCCCCUCAGAAACUGAUGCCUGUGUUCAGUUUCUGAAUGUAGGUGUUGAAUUUCACAGUAAUAUUCAUAAUGGUUGUAUGGUCUAUAAUUAUACGUUAAAAUUAAAUUAUAAAUAAUGAAAUUUCUUCUGCACUGAGUGAUACUGCACUCACUCACUCUUACUGAACAUUUAUUGAUUUUCUUGUAUACUAGAACAUUGUUAACCGUGUCAUUUUCAUUUGUGUUUUUUUUCCCUAACCCACUGUGUUCAAAUCUAAUAUAUAACUCAACAUACCAAAGUAAUGCUUUUCCUUAAAAGGAUUCUUCAGGCUGCCGUGGUGGGAACAAGGAAGCAAAACUGACUAUGUUUGAAAGAGUUCAGGAAGCAGAGGGAAAAUGCAGAGGGGCACAGGCCCUCGGGCAGUGGAUUACAGUCACAUUCUCAGAAAAAGAGCAAGAGCUUUGGAAGAUAAGAUAGAGGAACUACAGAGACAGCAGGAGAAGGAACUAUUCCAACUCAGUCAAGACAAUUAUAUCCUUCGAGCCAAGUGAUGUAGCGUUGAAGAAUCAAACAAGAAACAAAGGUGGUUGCCUUUUGAGGAAACAUCAGCUCCUGCCACAGAGGAAAAAUAAAAUCAAAAAAAGAAAUAGGAACAAGAGACACUUGUUCAGGGACGUCAACAGAGAGUUCCAGAAACAAGCCUGUCUACCCACUGUGGCUCUAUCCAGUUUCCUCACCACAGAAAGAUGGGCCAAAAACAGAAAAAAAGAAGGAAAAUGAAAAAUUGUAUAAUCAAGUGAAAGAUCUCCAUGAACAAGAAAAAUGAAGAGUGAACGUUCAAGGAAAAUCAGAGCUUAUUCAGC